UACGUAGGCAGCAAGCGUUGUUCGGAGUUACUGGGCGUAAAGGGCGCGUAGGCGGCAAUUCAAGUCACUUGUGAAAUCUCCGGGCUUAACUCGGAACGGUCAAGUGAUACUGCUUUGCUAGAGUGCGGAAGGGGCAAUCGGAAUUCUCGGUGUAGCGGUGAAAUGCGUAGAUAUCGAGAGGAACACCUGAGGUGAAGACGGGUUGCUGGGCCGACACUGACGCUGACAGCGCGAAAGCCAGGGGAGGCAAACGGG
rnacentral:rRNA from 1 species